rnacentral:rRNA from 1 species
AAAAAGUAACGUGUUCUUCUAAGUCUAUUGGAAAAUGGCGCCACAGAGGGUGAUAGCCCCGUCUGAUUCAACACAAUACAUAUCUUCCCCCUCCAAAGAGUCGAGUUGUUUGGGAAUGCAGCUCUAAGUGGGUGGUAAAUUCCAUCUAAAGCUAAAUAUUGGCGAGAGACCGAUAGCGAACAAGUACAGUGAUGGAAAGAUGAAAAGCACUUUGAAAAGAGAGUGAAAAAAGUACGUGAAAUUGUUGAAAGGGAAGGGCUUGCAAGCAGACACAACUUUUUGUUGGGCCAGCAUCGGGGGAGUAGGAGGCAAAAAGGGAGUAGAAAAUGUAGCUUUCGGUGGUUAAUAGUCCUGCC